CCUCCCUCCACAGUCAGGAUUAGUUGACUUAUCAUUUAAUUGAAAUCACUUUUUGUUUUGAGCCCUCAAUGCUAAUUUGAUUGGAUACUUUUGUAGGCUUUCAUUCAUUUUUUUUUUAAUUCAGAUAUUUAUUAUAAGUUGUGCACUUGAGCAUCUGGAAACCAAUCUGUGGAAGUCUAUGCCUUGAAACAUUCAAACACAAAUUAUCAGUUAAUAAUUUUGACAUCUCGCAGUUAGUAUGUAGUAAUAAUCUCCAUUAAAUUUUCUUUAACAAACACUACAUUCAAAUUAAAAAUAAAUAAUUGCAUUUGGUCACUGAUCAGAUGUGUUGUGUUAACAUUUGACCAUUAGUCAGUAGAUUCUGUUAGAAUAGACUUUGAUAUUAUUUAAUUUCAACCAUUAGUAUUAUUUUAAUUUUAUUUUUCAAGUUUUUUUUACCGUUUAUCUAACUAUAUAAAAAUGUUUUAACAUGCUUUGUUGUUUCAUCAUUUCUUGAUCAUGACAUGCUCUCUCAAUGGCUGUGUCUGUAUACCAUUAUUGUAAGAACUUCUGGCUGUUUCUAUAUGUUUAUGUACUCUUUCUUAAGUCAGUUUUAUUGUGUAUAAUUUCUUGUUCUAUCUUCUGGCUCCGUGUGUAUGUAUACUUUCUCCGUCUUCUGGCUCUCGUAACAGCUGUUCAGUUAUACUUUUAUGGCCCAGUGUUUCUGGCAAUUUAAAUGGCAGUGUGUAUAUCUCAUCUUUUUUGCUUGCCGCAAUACCGAUUGUGCCAUUUAUCAAAAUAUAUUUUUGGUGUGUAAAUAUUUCUGUAGCUUUGUAAAGACAAAAAGAAAAAUAAAGCAACUGGUAAACUUGU